rnacentral:tRNA from 1 species
ACAUUGGUGGUUCAGUGGUAGAAUUCUCACCUUCCGUGCAGGAGACCUGGGUUUGAUUCCUAGCCAGUGCA